AGAUGAAGAUCCCCAAAUCCUUGAUGAAGAGGCAUCGCGGUGUGCAGAAUCUAGCGUGUGUUGUUAGGUAUUGAGGGAAUACUUCUGACUCUCACAUUGUUAAUCAUUUGUUGGUGAAGACAGAGAGUGUGGUUAUUCUUUUUUGUAUGGAGCCUUGCCAUAAUCUGAAUUUCUUGAAAGACAUGGAAUGGGAUCGGGGUUAUUGGUGUCCACUUAUUGAUAAUAGAUGUUUCUUGCAAUAGCUUUUUAUGGUUCCGUCUCAAAUAGAGCAGCUACAGGCCAGCCGGAUCAGUGCUCAGGCCUCAGCAAAUCAACAAGGUAGAAGAACUUUGGAAGACAAAUCUGAUGCAACAUUGGAAGAUCUUAAGAAGCCCAGUGUAGAUGAUGAACCAACUGUCAUGGUUUUUCAAACUGGUAACUUGGAAUUA